UACGGAGGGGGCUAGCGUUGUUCGGAAUUACUGGGCGUAAAGCGCACGUAGGCGGACUGUUAAGUCGGGGGUGAAAUCCUGGGGCUCAACCUCAGAAUUGCCUCCGAUACUGGCAGUCUCGAGUGCGGGAGAGGUGAGUGGAAUUCCCAGUGUAGAGGUGAAAUUCGUAGAUAUUCGGAAGAACACCAGUGGCGAAGGCGGCUCACUGGACUGGUAUUGACGCUGAGGUGCGAAAGCGUGGGGAGCGAACAGG
rnacentral:rRNA from 1 species